rnacentral:rRNA from 2 species
GAAAGGACACUGCUAAUACCGCGAUACGUCCUACGGGAGAAAGUGGGGGAUCCUUCGGACCUCACGCUAUCAGCAUGAGCCUAGGUCGGAUUAGCUACUUGGUGAGGUAAAGGCUCACCAAGGCGACGAUCCAGUAACUGGUCUGAGAGGAUGAUCAGUCACACUGGAACUGAGACACGGUCCAAACUCCUACGGGAGGCAGCAGUGGGGAAUAUUGGACAAUGGGCUAAAGCCUGAUCCAGCCAUGCCGAGUGUGUGAAGAAGGUUUUCGGAUUGUAAAGCACUUUAAGUUGGGAGGAAGGGCAAUAAGUUAAUACCUUGCUGUUUUGACGUUACCAACAGAAUAAGCACCGGCUAACUUCUGUGCCAGCAGCCGCGGUAAUACAAAGGGUGCAAGCGUUAAUCGACAUUACUGGUCGUAAAGCGCGCGUAGGUGGUUCGUUAAGUGGUAUGUGAAAGC